rnacentral:ncRNA from 1 species
CCCAUGGGGAUCGCGAUCUCCCCACGAGGCGACAUGCCGGAGCAUCGCGUCCCCGCUCAUCUCUGCAAGGACGCCCCAUG